rnacentral:lncRNA from 1 species
AUGCGGGGGGUGGAGAAAGGUGGUAGUCGUCAUACGAUAGUUUUUAGUGCGGGACCGAGGAGGAAGCCGGUUGAAAACCUGGCCCAGAGGCAAGUGAACAAAAUACAUUUUCAUCCUAUGUGGAAGGAGCGAUCCGGCCAUGCCUGCGCAAAAAGCGGGUGCCGGAGGCUGGGGGACGCCAAUGAGAACCACAACCCGCAAGGUAGCUGCAGGCGCAGGAGGGACCGUUCGAGAGGUUGGUCGGUGGUUUUGACCUUGCGGAGGAGAGCAGGAGCCGUUCGGAAGAAAUGCCUUUCGCCGCCUCAGAAACAGCUGAGGGAGGCUUCCAGCAAAGGCCAGCAGAUGUCUCUUAAAAUUAUCCAGAGUCUCCUCUACAGUAUAAACACCCCAACUGCUUUACACAUAUAA